UCUGCUGUGUGUUCUAUAGAAGUGGAUCAGUGUCACAUAUCAACUGUUGUUUAUUUUAGGAAACUUCACAUCAGAGGAGACUCCAGCCUCCACUGGUAUUUUUCUUAUUUAUAUACGUCUACUUGUUUUGGAGGAAAAACUCAAUAUUAAUCAACACAUUUUCCAUUAUUGAGUGAAGCCUUUUGGUUGUCUGGUUCUCCUCCUGCUCUGUCUUUUCAUCAAGGUCAAAUUUCAUCAGGAAGAUCCCUCAGGAUCUAAUGAGAUGAAAGAAACUAGAAUGGGACUCAGUAGAGCGCAUAUUCACCAAGGCCCAGCAGUCCCCUUAAAUACAAUCAAGCCGCACCAAAUUUCACACACUCAUAGAUAUCAGUCCUCUACAUACGGCAGAUUUUUUUCAUUAAGGUCCAAGAAUUAUUCCCUGGGAAAACGUUUUAAAGCACAAUGUUAAAGAAAGAGAUCAAAAGUGACUGGAUCAGCUUAAUACCAAAAUACAGUGGGCCCUUUCCUGACACUUACUACAUCUGCCCGCCAAGAUGAUUGGAAAUCCAAUUGUUGUUGUUAUUAUAACAGUUUUAUUUAUUUAAACAAGUAUUAUGUCGUCUUGAUCAGGUUCCUGGAAAUGGAUCUUUGCUUCAUGUGGGGUUCUACUUCUGAUCAUCAUUCCUUUGACUGUUUGGCUCGUUUGUCACUACAGGUACCAGAAGUUCUGCAAUUGGAGCUGCUGGCCAGUUUCCAAACAGGAAGUUCCAGCAGGGGUGCUUCCUGCCACCAAGUUGGAUGUGACUGAGGUGCAGUAGGACCUGUCCUGGAUGGAGAUGUCCAACCUGUUGGAAAAGGAUUCUUAUUGUGGCACUUAAAGGGAAACUCUCUUCUGAAGCCCAGAGAAAGUAUUAACUAUUGGGUCAAACCUAUGAGAAAGCUCAGUCAGUGCUGCAAUUUGUAGUAUCUGAUGGUCACAUGUCAAAAUAGUGCUGCCUGAUAUAUUUUUGAAUUGAAUUAAAUGAGAUGUUUAGGAUUUAUAAGGAUGACUACAUUUGCUGAUGGUGCAGAUUCCAAUACAAAUGUUAUUGUUUCA